rnacentral:rRNA from 1 species
CCCGGGCCUUGUACACACCGCCCGUCACGCCACGAAAGUUUGUUGUACCAGAAAACGUUGGGCUAACCCGCAAGGGGGGCAGACGUCUACGGUAUGGCAGAUGAUUGGGGCG